GUGAAUCUUUCAAAGUCGGCUCCGUCCGUUCUGUGCUGGUGGAGACACAUGUGCACGUUUGGCGAGUCGCAAAUCCACACACCUGUGCAUCUAUGACUCUGAGUGCCGCUUUGCAUGGCCUUGACGGGCCUGGCGCUCGAGUAUUUUCACACACUCUUGAAUGUAAUGGAAUGUCAUGUUGUGCGUAAUGUACAAAAGAAA
rnacentral:misc_RNA from 1 species